rnacentral:lncRNA from 1 species
GCAAGCGGGCUUGGCGGCGAGCUGCGCGAUCGGAUCGCCCACGCCCCAGCGCUCGUUGUUCCAUCGCCCUUGCCAUUUCUUUGAUUCGAAACUUCCGGACCUGUUCCAAGCGAUUCUUCCAUCAUCGUUUCGGGAUUUGAGGACUUACGAGCUGGAAGAUCGACAAAAGAAAGGGCAAAAGGAGGAUAGGGUUCGAUUUUAC